UUUUAGCCCCGAUAGAAGUGGAAAUCCUUUUUGUUUUUUUCUUUAAAAAAAAAAGAUUGGAACGUAUAGCGGGAUUAGCU
rnacentral:sRNA from 2 species